AUGGACAUACAUACAUAUAGAGAGGCUGCUGUGCAUGGGUUUACCUGUGGGCCACAGUCCUUUUUUACCUAAUGAGCACGUGUAACGGAACAUGCAGCGGUGAUGAAAUACCUGGAACGAUUGGCUAAUUACAUGCCAAAUGACCAAGAAAACAUCUUCAUCCAUGACAUGCAAGAGUGCAGUCAAAGCCCCGCACCUGGGACGACCUCCUGACGAAGACCACAUAGACGACCAAGCGAGCCUCAAUGUGAUAACAGUUUAUCAGCUGCGCAUUUUUUAAAUGUACAAGUAUCUACAUUUGUACAUGUGCAUAUACAUAUGUACAUAUGAAUGUCUACACAAACAUGUGUUAUGUAUAAUAUUUGCCUAAGAAAGGGGAAUCCGAAUGCAAAAUCAGACCAGGAUUCCCACUGGCGAUCAAAUAUCUAGUCUUGUGAAUCAAAUUAAUGAUGUCGUCAUGGCUGCUGAGAACUCCGAAAAACAUUGCAGCUGGAGGAUAUGCAGUAGCGUAACCCUGAACGUCUCUGCCCCCACGCAGGCCAGGCGACUCCACUGCUAACUGAUUACACAAACGUUAACGACACCCGAAGAGCAGAGCAGAGCUGUCAGAGUUUAUCAGCGCUCUGCCUGUGCCCGUUGUGGGGGGCAAAAACAACUGAAAAACACUUUCACGCU